AAGGCCAGCCGCUAAGACCAGUACUGUUGAACUCUGGGCCUCCAAUCCCUGGACUGUAUUAAGGGGGUUGAGCUGGAAGAGGCUCAAUGUUUUGCCAGUCCUUUGAACCGGGAACCCUUGAGUUUCAAAUCUGCUAUUGCCCCACCAGACAGCUGCCUCUGCCUCUGCCCAAGGUCACGGAUUGACAGUGAGACAACUGGGACGGACACCCUGACUUACCUGGAGAAGAGACCCUGCCAAUGCCACCAGCAGUGAACCAGCCUAGGCUAGCCCACUGCCCCCAAGAAGCAGAGGAGAAGUCGUCCUAAGUGGGCCAAUAGCCAGCCAACCUCCAAAAGGUGAGGAACACAGCCAAGAUCCAUGAAACGGACGCUCACGUGACUUGAAUGCUGACCACAGACACCUGAGUGAGUCCAGCCCAGCCCAACCCAGAAGAACCACCCAUCCAAACAGCAGACCCACAAGCUAAAUAAACGUUUUCAAGUUUAACCCACUGGGUUUUGUGUGUGUUUGUUAUGUGACAUAUUGUAGUAAAUAACUGAUACACUAGUUCAAAUUAAUUUGUGGCUGCUUAG
rnacentral:lncRNA from 1 species